rnacentral:SRP_RNA from 1 species
GCAGGAGGCCAGGAGGGCGCACAGUGAAGCGGAAGCAGAGGUGCAGAGAGUCAGGGCCGAAAUUCAGCAGGU